rnacentral:rRNA from 1 species
GUGAGGAAUAUUGGUCAAUGGACGGAAGUCUGAACCAGCCAUGCCGCGUGCAGGAAGACGGCUCUAUGAGUUGUAAACUGCUUUUGUACAAGGGUAAACCUGAAUACGUGUAUUCAGCUGAAAGUACUGUACGAAUAAGGAUCGGCUAACUCCGUGCCAGCAGCCGCGGUAAUACGGAGGAUCCAAGCGUUAUCCGGAUUUAUUGGGUUUAAAGGGUGCGUAGGCGGAUUGAUAAGUUAGAGGUGAAAUGUCCGAGCUUAACUCGGGAACUGCCUCUAAUACUGUUGAUCUAGAGAGUAGAUGCGGUAGGCGGAAUGUAUGGUGUAGCGGUGAAAUGCUUAGAGAUCAUACAGAACACCGAUUGCGAAGGCAGCUUACCAAUCUAUAUCUGACGUUGAGGCACGAAAGCGUGGGGAGCAAACAGGA